rnacentral:rRNA from 1 species
UAAUACAGAGGGUGCAAGCGUUGUUCGGAAUUACUGGGCGUAAAGCGCGUGUAGGCGGCCUAGCAAGUUGGGUGUGAAAGCCCUCGGCUCAACCGAGGAACUGCAUUCAAAACUACUAGGCUAGAGUAUCGGAGGGGGUGGCGGAAUUCCCGGUGUAGAGGUGAAAUUCGUAGAUAUCGGGAGGAACACCUGUGGCGAAGGCGGCCACCUGGAAGAUUACUGACGCUGAGACGCGAAAGCGUGGGGAGCAAACAGGAUUAGAUACCCUGGUAGUCCACGCCGUAAACGAUGAGUGCUAGGUGUUGUGGGUAUUGACCCCUGCAGUGCCAAAGCUAACGCGUUAAGCACUCCGCCUGGGGAGUACGGUCGCAAGAUUA